UACAUUUUAAAAAGUAAAGCGUAUGCUGGAAUGCUGGACAAACUAGCAUAUUUUUACUGCGGCGACGUCUUUUGGCCACUUACGUGCUCAACAAGAAAACCUGUUCGACGAAAAGGGAACUGUAUUGCCACUUACGUGCUCAAUUAUACAAUACCAAUGCUAAAGCACACAUAGGGCAACCGAGAAACGUGGGAAUUUAAAUCUACCGCGUCAAUUAUUUUAAUGAGCUGGCGCAACCAGCUUUUAUUCCCCAGGCAUGUAAAACGCCGUCCUUACAACACGUUGCAACUUUACAAGGCAGUUUGGAUGAAGCAGCGACAAACCUACAAGCACUGUUUUGAUUUGAUGAACUACAAGCACUGUGUUGAUGUGCAGGAUUAUAUUUGUUUCUUCUACAAGAGUUGAAGUUAAGUACUAUUGCUACUGUUUAGUAUUACUUAAUUAUAAACUAUUUUUCUAAUUAGUUAUUUAGUGUAACUUAAUUAUUAACUAAUAUUUUAAUGUACUUACACUCGAAUAUGAUUAUUUAUGAGUAUAUUACAUAUGCAUUUGUAAACCUAUUAUAAUAAUUUUAGUAUUGUGCCUUGCGAUUGGUAUUCUUAUUUUAUCCUUAAUUUAAUAUUUAACAAACUUGUUCCAGGAAUUUCGCUACAGUCUUUAAUUUUGACAGAAUACAGAUCACUCGCGACGUGACAUCGGUUUACACAAUCGCUUCGUUACGUCACAAUACGUCUGUAUGACAUCGCGUCAUACUCGCUUCGCCAUCGCUCGCGUUUAUUACGUCAUAGUCAAGUUCACGCCCGAGAGCACACGUUUGCGACGUCACAUCACGUUUUCUUCUAUGCGCUUGCUUUUCGCGACAUUUUUUCAUGGGGCCCCAUGCGCGCUUUGCGUCGUCGCAAGGCACAUUACUUAUACUUACAUAUUAAUUUUAAUCUAAAAUACAUUCGUGCUGUUAGCUAAACAUGAAGCAUGAAGAUCAAAGAUUUGGUAAAGUAUAAAUCACAGUAGGCAUUGUUACGUACACUAGUUCUUUUCUAGAUAACAUCAGAGAUGUGACGUCACGAAGUGGUGAUGACGCAACAGAAGAACCCACUUCAAUAUGGUAUGUGACGUCAUAGGAUCAAGAGAACAAAGCGCGAAUCGUGAUUGAAGAAAAGCCAGCGUAUAUGCUGCUGAAGAAAAGCGCAAGAAGAAGAGCAAAGACGAAGACGACGAUAAGGAUGCCGGUUUGAGGUUUUGCUUAUAGGCUUAGGAGUUGUGUGUUGUUGGGGUGUGGUUGCUGGAGCACUCUUACAGUGUUGCCGGAUUUGUGUUUGUGUCUCAUUUUGCUGGACCUAAUGUGGCCAGCCUUUUUUGUCAGUCACUACUUUAGUGCAUUUUACAUGUCUCUGAAAUAUAUGCAAUGAAAGUAUGGCAAACAUCUUGCUGGAUCGGAUUUUGUUGUUGUACACGUCAUUGUGUGCUUCUUCUGCAAAGGUC